AAAACGGCCUUUUUCAAGGCCACCAAAUGAUUAGAAAAGAUGCCU
rfam:Crassostrea gigas strain 05x7-T-G4-1.051#20 contig8333, whole genome shotgun sequence.